GGGGACGGAGAAGGCUAUGUUGGCCGGGCGACGGUUGUCCCGGUUUAAGCGUGUAGGUGUGUGUUCCAGGUAAAUCCGGUUCACUUUAACACUGAGGCGUGAUGACGAGGCACUACGGUGCUGAAGCAACAAAUGCCCUGCUUCCAGGAAAAGCCUCUAAGCAUCAGGUAACAUCAAAUCGUACCCCAAACCGACACAGGUGGUCAGGUAGAGAAUACCAAGGCGCUUGAGAGAACUCGGGUGAAGGAACUAGGCAAAAUGGUGCCGUAACUUCGGGAGAAGGCACGCUGACACGUAGGUGAAGUGAUUUACUCAUGGAGCUGAAGUCAGUCGAAGAUACCAGCUGGCUGCAACUGUUUAUUAAAAACACAGCACUGUGCAAACACGAAAGUGGACGUAUACGGUGUGACGCCUGCCCGGUGCCGGAAGGUUAAUUGAUGGGGUCAGCGCAAGCGAAGCUCCUGAUCGAAGCCCCGGUAAACGGCGGCCGUAACUAUAACGGUCCUAAGGUAGCGAAAUUCCUUGUCGGGUAAGUUCCGACCUGCACGAAUGGCGUAAUGAUGGCCAGGCUGUCUCCACCCGAGACUCAGUGAAAUUGAACUCGCUGUGAAGAUGCAGUGUACCCGCGGCAAGACGGAAAGACCCCGUGAACCUUUACUAUAGCUUGACACUGAACAUUGAGCCUUGAUGUGUAGGAUAGGUGGGAGGCUUUGAAGUGUGGACGCCAGUCUGCAUGGAGCCGACCUUGAAAUACCACCCUUUAAUGUUUGAUGUUCUAACGUGGACCCGUAAUCCGGGUUGCGGACAGUGUCUGGUGGGUAGUUUGACUGGGGCGGUCUCCUCCUAAAGAGUAACGGAGGAGCACGAAGGUUGGCUAAUCCUGGUCGGACAUCAGGAGGUUAGUGCAAUGGCAUAAGCCAGCUUGACUGCGAGCGUGACGGCGCGAGCAGGUGCGAAAGCAGGUCAUAGUGAUCCGGUGGUUCUGAAUGGAAGGGCCAUCGCUCAACGGAUAAAAGGUACUCCGGGGAUAACAGGCUGAUACCGCCCAAGAGUUCAUAUCGACGGCGGUGUUUGGCACCUCGAUGUCGGCUCAUCACAUCCUGGGGCUGAAGUAGGUCCCAAGGGUAUGGCUGUUCGCCAUUUAAAGUGGUACGCGAGCUGGGUUUAGAACGUCGUGAGACAGUUCGGUCCCUAUCUGCCGUGGGCGCUGGAGAACUGAGGGGGGCUGCUCCUAGUACGAGAGGACCGGAGUGGACGCAUCACUGGUGUUCGGGUUGUCAUGCCAAUGGCACUGCCCGGUAGCUAAAUGCGGAAGAGAUAAGUGCUGAAAGCAUCUAAGCACGAAACUUGCCCCGA
rnacentral:rRNA from 1 species